rnacentral:sRNA from 1 species
CUUUAAAAAUCUGGAUCAAGCUGAAAAUUGAAACGACACACUGUUUCAUUUCUCCGUAAUAAGAAAUGAAAAGCGGUGUGUUCGAGUCUCUCAAAUUUUCGCAAUCAGAAGUGAAACAUCUUCGG